ensembl:lncRNA
CAAAUUUUCAUUUAUAGAUUGGUUAUGGAUUAUUUUCGUCGACACCCCAAAGAAGAUAUUUCACAUGUGAUUGAAAUGUUCCUUUUACAAUAAUCAUGAGACUGUUGUGGCGGCACAGUGAUUGAUGGACACAGCAGAAAUGUCAAUUAGCAAGAAAAUGAUUGUCUUAAAAACUACCAGGAUUACAUCUCUCUGCCCCAGCCAUGCGUGGACACAUUACUAGGGAGUUAGAGAAGUGGAAUCAUUGCUUUGCCUGCCCUAAAAAGAAAACUUGUUUAUGCUGCAUGGUAAGUGGAAUCUAGUAAACAAAUACUUUACAUCUUGAGAGAUUAAAAAAAAAAACCUUCCUAUCUGAGUCCCUGUUGGGAUUUGAACAGAGAGUAAGCAGUCAAUGGCAAGGACGUGGGAGGGCUGCAGUCCUGACCCUGGUUUGGGACUCAGGCCCUCAGGAGGAGAGUGGCCUUAUGACUGCUCAUCAUAAGGCUUGGCCCUGAGGGGCAGCCACAAGUCAGUACGAGGUGGCUCACAGGAAGAGCAAAGCAUCCUUCAGGAGGAGUAGUGUUCUACCUGCCACCUUAACCAUUUACAAAGACCACAGACCGGGCGUGCUUGCUGCUCACAUAGCUAUUGUGAGGGUCUCUGGCUUCUCAGGUCUUACAUGAAGCGUCAACCCAGAAGACCUAGAGACACGCAUGCAUCAGCCAAGCUCCCUGCUGGGGCAGGGGGUGGGGCAGAGCAAGCAGCCGGCAGAAACCCCGAAAGCCUCAAAGGGAAAAGAAGACACAGGUGAUGGGAUUUUGCAGUUUCACUAGAACUUUGCUGACAUUUUCACCCAAAGAUGUUGACAGGUUCUCAGUCCCUCCUGUUUCAGGGUGAAGGCCUCCCAAGCGUGCAUUGCUAGGCAUUGACACUGAAUGAGGAAAGGGCCAGCUUCCCCCACAGGGGUGGCCAGCCUUAUAUUCCUCGCCUUGACCACAGUCCAGCCUAUGCUUCCAGCCCCAUCCUUGUUUCUGGAGCUGGUGGAUCAUUUUGCCCCUUGAGCACCGCUGGCCCUCUUGGGCCCUGGACAGGCCAUUAUUGCUCCUGAGAACACACUCUGAGGCAAGGGAGGCCCAGGCCUAACAGGACUUCUUUCCUUUCUUCACAAGGAUGGAAGGGUAGAGGCAGCUUCGUGCCUGUGUCUGUGCCACUAAAAGGUCCCUGGUCCAAUAACAGUGCUUGUUUCCUGGGGAUCUAGAGUGUGAGAUGGUCUCAUGCACCAGCUUAUUUAUUCUGCCAUCUACUUAAUAUGAAAAUUUGUAUUCGUUCUGCCACCCCUCCACCCUCAACAAUGCUCUGGGAAGGUGCCCCCACGCCAUGGCUCCUGGAAGGUAACAGGGCUUUGGUUUGGGAAAUCCUCGGGUGCUGAGCCAGCUCCUAGAACGUGCUGUGCUUGUUCCAAGCCCAGCCUUCACUGCAGCGCUCCCUCUGCCUGCAGGGCCCUCCUCCCAGUCCAACCUGAGUCCUCCCUUCUUCCUGAGGCCUUCUCCACCUGGGGUCUCCCCAGUGGGCUCCCAGAAGGCAGCCAUUUCAUGCUUUCUUUUUAUAAUUCUUCCCUCCCCUCCCCUCCAUACCUUGCAUGUGGUAAGUGCUCGAUCAAUGCUUGGAUGAAGCCAUUGAACGUCAUUAGAAAGGGAUUAGGAUGACUGGCCAGCAGUAAAGGCUGGGAGACCAUGGCCAGCCCCUUGAGCUGUUGUGGUGGGCGGGGGUGAGACAGUGGGG